CCUACGGGUGGCAGCAGUGAGGAAUAUUGGUCAAUGGACGAGAGUCUGAACCAGCCAAGUAGCGUGAAGGAUGACUGCCCUAUGGGUUGUAAACUUCUUUUAUAUGGGAAUAAAACGUUCCACGUGUGGGAUUUUGUAUGUACCAUAUGAAUAAGGAUCGGCUAACUCCGGACCAGCAGCCGCGGUAAUACGGAGGAUCCGAGCGUUAUCCGGAUUUAUUGGGUUUAAAGGGAGCGUAGGUGGAUUGUUAAGUCUGUUGUGAAAGUUUGCGGCUGAACCGUAAAAUUGAAGUUGAAACUGGCAGUCUUGAGUACAGUAGAGGUGGGCGGAAUUCGUGGUGUAGCGGUGAAAUGCUUAGAUAUCACGAAGAACUCCGAUUGCGAAGGCAGUUCACUGGACUGCAACUGACACUGAGGCUCGAAAGUGUGGGUAUCAAACAGGAUUAGAUACCCCGGUAGUC
rnacentral:rRNA from 1 species